UACGUAGGGGGCUAGCGUUGUCCGGAAUCAUUGGGCGUAAAGAGCGUGUAGGCGGUCCGGUAAGUCCGUUGUGAAAGUCAGGGGCUCAACCCUUGAAUGCCGGCGGAUACUGUCGGGCUAGAGUCCGGAAGAGGCGAGUGGAAUUCCCGGUGUAGCGGUGAAAUGCGCAGAUAUCGGGAGGAACACCUAUGGCGAAGGCAGCUCGCUGGGACGGCACUGACGCUGAGGCGCGAAAGCGUGGGGAGCAAACAGG
rnacentral:rRNA from 1 species